rnacentral:rRNA from 1 species
UACGUAGGGCGCAAGCGUUAUCCGGAAUUAUUGGGCGUAAAGAGCUCGUAGGCGGUUUGUCGCGUCUGCCGUGAAAGUCCGGGGCUCAACUCCGGAUCUGCAGUGGGUACGGGCAGACUAGAGUGUGGUAGGGGAGACUGGAAUUCCUGGUGUAGCGGUGAAAUGCGCAGAUAUCAGGAGGAACACCGAUGGCGAAGGCAGGUCUCUGGGCCAUAACUGACGCUGAGAAGCGAAAGCAUGGGGAGCGAACAGG